UGGUGAGAAGGUAUAGUCUACCCCUUGCCGAAAGGCAAGAAAGGGUGAAGUUCCGACCUGCAUGAAUGGCCCAACGAGUGCCGCACUGUCUCGAGGAGAGUCCCGGCGAAAUUGUAAUGCCGGUCAAGAUGCCGGCUACCCGCGGCAGGACGGAAAGACCCCGUGAAGCUUCACUGUAGUCUGG
rnacentral:rRNA from 1 species